UACAAGUUACAUCCUUUUCAGGCUCCUAGU
rnacentral:piRNA from 1 species